AGGUGACAGUGAGAGCUUCUGCUGAGCUGCAGUAAGAAUCAGCAGUUUGGUGCCACGAUACCCACCAGCUGCAUCUGCACGGCGCUCAUUUUGCUGAGGACAAAAUAUGUAAUGAAGGACUUAAUGGCUUUCUCUAAUUCCUGCACGUAGCUGAAGCAAGAGGCAAGUGCAGCUGGAGCUGCAUCCCACCCAGCUGCUCACAUCUGCCACUCCGGGUCCUGCUGUCAUGGGUGUGCUCCUGCGAGUGCUCCUCGAGGGGAUCAUUAUGCAACAGCGACAGGAUGCAAACAGUCCUUCCGACACGCUGCCUUUCCCCACUGUAGAAGAGGUGUUAGCUGUGGAGGUCUGGACUGCAUUACGUGCAGACUAAAUUAAUCUUGCAUAUCAUAAAACAUCAGAUUGUACUAAGUGAGAUAGAGAUGGCAACGCGGCAUUAAAUGUUGGUCUCUGGAAGAAAUGAAUGACCGGGAAUGGAGGAAAGAGACAGGCUCCAGCAGGAACGUUUGCAGGAAGGCGAAGAGGGGAUCUGAGGACUAAGAGAGAAUCCAGGAGAAGCGGGUGGCUGAGAGCAGUAUCCAACAGAAACGGUUUGGCCCAGAGGAGGGAAGAAGGAAAGACGCAGCAAAGAAAAUGGAAAAGAAACAAUAGACCUUUGCAACAGGAAGGAUGAAGCAUCAGCACAGAAAUUACGCCUGCUCUGUGCUUUACAGCAAUUUGCAUCUUCACGAUCAUAGCUUGUAAGCAUAAAUAAAGCAACCAAGCGUGGGAUAUAUUUCCUCUUCAGAAAUGCAAACUUGAAGAUCCAGAACAACCUAAUUCCAAAAUCUUCCAACUAACUUAGUCCUUGUCUCGGUGAGAAGAGACAACUCUCAGAGAUGAGCUGAAGGACUUUUGCUGGGGAGGCCGAAUGAAAGCAGGUGGCUGGCAAUUCAAAGGUAAUGUGAAAAGAUUUUGGGGCUGAUUAUAUAUUAAGGCCAAAGUAAAAGCCCCGGGAAAGGAGUAACCGAGUCUGAUCUCCAUUGUUCUGUACUUCUGUCUUCUCCCUUCUCGGAUUUCAUGCUUGGUUUCCUCUUUCUCUGCAG
ensembl:lncRNA